UUUAAACAUUGUAGCUCUUAAGAACCAUGUAAACGUUGCCCCAAUAUUUGAUGUGUUAACAGCUUUUUACAUUUUCCUGUCUUUCUAAUCAUGUUGCAAGAUUUCAGGUCUUGAAUAAUUGGUUCCUUGAUUUGCCUGGAUAGGACAUACUCCUAAAAGAUCCCAGAGAUAGAAAUGAUCAGCUCCUUCCUUCAUUGAUAUUGCAUAGCUGGACUGCGGAUAUUGCACAUGAUGGAGGCCGAGUUUCUCAGGAUUACCACUACUCCCCUUCUCUCAAAGUUCCUUAGACAACUAGACCAGCACACUGAUCAGCUAUUCAAAGUUCUUGGGGAACAAAAUAGGCUCUGCAGGGAGGAAAAUCCAGACGAUACUGGCCCCAAUGACAAAG